UAGGGAAUCUUCCGCAAUGGGCGAAAGCCUGCCGGAGCAACGCCGCGUUAGUGAUGAAGGUCUUCGGAUCGUAAAACUCUGUUAUUAGGGAAGAACAAAUGUGUAAGUAACUAUGCACGUCUUGACGGUACCUAAUCAGAAAGCCACGGCUAACUACGUGCCAGCAGCCGCGGUAAUACGUAGGUGGCAAGCGUUAUCCGGAAUUAUUGGGCGUAAAGCGCGCGUAGGCGGUUUUUUAAGUCUGAUGUGAAAGCCCACGGGUCAACCGUGGAGGGUCAUUGGAAACUGGAAAAAUUGAGUGGAGAAGAGGAAAGUGGAAUUCCAUGUGUAGCGGUGAAAUGCGCAGAGAUAUGGAGGAACACCAGUGGCGAAGGCGACUUUCUGGUCUGUAACUGACGCUGAUGUGAGAAAGCGUGGGGAUCAAACAGG
rnacentral:rRNA from 1 species